AGUCCAUGCCCCGAUGAAUUGAGGCUGUUCGGAGGGCAAAAGGGGGUGUAACUCAAUAUUAGUAACGGUAACAUUACGCUCCUUAAGAAUACAUCUUGGGCUAGAUUAGACCCACAUGCCUUGUAUUUCCUACCAGAGAAGGUUAGAGUUAGACACAAAUGCCUUGUAUUUCCUACCAGAGAAGGUUAGAGUUAGACCCACAUGCCUUGUAUUUCCUACCAGAGAAGGUUAGAGUUAGACACAAAUGCCUUGUAUUUCCUACUAGAGAAGGUUAGAGUUAGACACAAAUGCCUUGUAUUUCCUACCAGAGAAGGUUAGGGUUAUACCCACAUGCCUUGUAUUUCCUACCAGAGAAGGUUAGAGUUAGACCCACAUGCCUUGUAUUUCCUACCAGAGAAGGUUAGGCUUAGACCCAACUGCCUGUAACCCCUACAAGAGAAGGUUAGGGUUAGACCCAACUGCCUGUAACCCCUUCAAGAGAAGGUUAGGGUUAGACCCAACUGCCUGUAACCCCUUCAAGAGAAGGUUAGGGUUAGACCCAACUGCCUGUCACCCCUUCAAGAGAAGGUUAGGGUUAGACCCAACUGCCUGUAACCCCUUCAAGAGAAGGUUAGGGUUAGACCCAACUGCCUGUAACCCCUUCAAGAGAAGGUUAGGGUUAGACCCAACUGCCUGUAACCCCUUCAAGAGAAGGUUAGGGUUAGACCCAACUGCCUGUAACCCCUUCAAGAGAAGGUUAGGGUUAGACCCAACUGCCUGUAACCCCUUCAAGAGAAGGUUAGGGUUAGACCCAACUGCCUGUAACCCCUUCAAGAGAAGGUUAGGGUUAGACCCAACUGCCUGUCACCCCUUCAAGAGAAGGUUAGGGUUAGACCCAACUGCCUGUAACCCCUUCAAGAGAAGGUUAGGGUUAGACCCAACUGCCUGUAACCCCUUCAAGAGAAGGUUAGGGUUAGACCCAACUGCCUGUAACCCCUUCAAGAGAAGGUUAGGGUUAGACCCAACUGCCUGUCACCCCUUCAAGAGAAGGAGACAUACUCAAAGUAGGCAAUUUUUCAGUUUACCUUCAUUUUCCACAUGACGGACUCCGAAUGCAAGUUUAAAUAAAAUGGUGUAUGGGGAUUCCAUUCCAGUCUGAUGGGAGCUCGCUUUGCUGACAGCUUAUCAUAUUUCAGCCUUGAAAUUCUUAACGCAGAAGCCAUGAGUGAUGCAUACGCUUUUUAGUUAUUUUUAUCUUCAUAUGCAUUGCUUCUCUGAAACAAGAUUUGGAGGGUUGCAGUAGGGCCUUUUACCCAGGAAAAAGCUAUACUGUGAGAGAGCCCAUCUCUCCCUAAAAAUAAACAAGCCUCAAUUUAGAUGCAAAAAAAAGGGAAACAAAACAAGCAUAAAUUCAAGCCAAUUUAUAGUUGAGCGCCAUCACUAAAGGCAAUGAGGUAAAUUGCUUCUGGCAGAUCAUUUAAAGUACUACUCCUACUACUGAGUCUCUUUGUCAAUAUGUUUUGUUGCUAGUUAUUUUACUUGUCAUAACAUAGAAGUGGACAGCAGAGGAGAGAUAAUCUCGAUAAGGGACUAAACAUCAAGGGACUGGCAGGAAUAUUGAAAACAAUUUAGAUCGUUGUGAGUUAGAAUGAAACAGUGAGUUAGAAUGAAACAGUGAGUUAGAAUGAAACAGUGAGUUAGAAUGAAACAGUGCGUUAGAAUGAAACAGUGAGUUAGAAUGAAACAGUGAG